GGUGGGGGGUUUUCUCAUUCCAAUUUUGUGAGAGAGAAAAAUAAAAAAAAAUUAUUUUUCUUCUUCCACACCAUCUCUUCCUUGAAAAGCUCCUUCUUUUUAUUUGGAGGUAUCCAUUUGAUCUGAAGAAAGGAGUCUCCGUCAACCAUCCAGAUCCUUCAUCGUGAGCUAGCACUCCCGAGAAGGAUGAUCUAUUCGAAACUUUGAGUGGAUCACCU
rnacentral:lncRNA from 1 species